rnacentral:rRNA from 1 species
AAAGCUCAAAUUUAAAAUCUGGCGGUUCUGCCGUCCGAGUUGUAAUCUGGAGAAACGUUUUCCGCGUCGGACCGUGUACAAGUCUCUUGGAACAGAGCGUCAUAGAGGGUGAGAAUCCCGUCUUUGACACGGACUACCGAUGCUUUGUGAUACGUUCUCGAAGAGUCGAGUUGUUUGGGAAUGCAGCUCAAAAUGGGUGGUAAAUUCCAUCUAAAGCUAAAUACAGGCGAAAGACCGAUAGCGAA